rnacentral:rRNA from 1 species
GAUGAACGCUGGCGGCGUGCUUAACACAUGCAAGUCGAACGGAAAGGCCACAGCUUGCUGUGGUACUCGAGUGGCGAACGGGUGAGUAACACGUGGGUGAUCUGCCCUGUACUUCGGGAUAAGCUUGGGAAACUGGGUCUAAUACCGGAUAGGAAUCACAUGUGGGUGUGUGGUUGGAAAGCUUUUGCGGUAUGGGAUGAGCUCGCGGCCUAUCAGCUUGUUGGUGGGGUAAUGGCCUACCAAGGCGUCGACGGGUAGCCGGCCUGAGAGGGUGUACGGCCACAUUGGGACUGAGAUACGGCCCAGACUCCUACGGGAGGCAGCAGUGGGGAAUAUUGCACAAUGGGCGCAAGCCUGAUGCAGCGACGCCGCGUGGGGGAUGACGGCCUUCGGGUUGUAAACUCCUUUCGUCAGGGACGAAGCGAAAGUGACGGUACCUGGAUAAGAAGCACCGGCUAACUACGUGCCAGCAGCCGCGGUAAUACGUAGGGUGCGAGCGUUGUCCGGAAUUACUGGGCGUAAAGAGCUCGUAGGUGGUUUGUCGCGUCGUUUGUGUAAGUCCACGGCUUAACUGUGGGAUGGCAGGCGAUACGGGCAUAACUUGAGUGCUGUAGGGGAGACUGGAAUUCCUGGUGUAGCGGUGAAAUGCGCAGAUAUCAGGAGGAACACCGAUGGCGAAGGCAGGUCUCUGGGCAGUAACUGACGCUGAGGAGCGAAAGCAUGGGUAGCGAACAGGAUUAGAUACCCUGGUAGUCCAUGCCGUAAACGGUGGGCGCUAGGUGUGAGUCCCUUCCACGGGGUUCGUGCCGUAGCUAACGCAUUAAGCGCCCCGCCUGGGGAGUACGGCCGCAAGGCUAAAACUCAAAGGAAUUGACGGGGGCCCGCACAAGCGGCGGAGCAUGUGGAUUAAUUCGAUGCAACGCGA